UAUCAUUUGUAAAUUGAAAGACAUCUGGAGAAAUAUUUUCAAACGAAAUUAGUCUUAACCUUGAUUAUAAUAAGUUAGCUAUUAAUUGGGACAAUUAAAAACAAUAGUCAAAUUGAAAAAAUAAGUUGAUUCAGUAUCUAUUUGUUAAGGUAACAGUUUAUCGAUAGUACACUUUGGACUAAUUCACUAUCAGAUCCUCAGCUGAUUUUAAAAUCUUGAUUUAUUUUUCUUGUUUUCAAUUUGAUUUUGUGUAAAUUAAUUCUUCUUUUAUUCAUGGAUUUUGCUCAACAAUUAAUACUGUUAUCAAUUUGGACUUUUGUUGGUAGUUGGAGUUAGUAUUGUAAUUGUAACUUGUAAAUACCUGUUGACUGUGAUGAGCUAAGCUGGCUUCUUGUUAAACAGAUUAAUGUGAGAAAGGUUAAUAUUUUUAAUCUCAUUGCUGAUGAUUUAAAUUUGACUAUGGUUAUGAUGAUGAAGACUCUUGUCAGAAAUGAUUAUCCGAAAAGGUUAUCUUUUCUUCCUUUGAUUCACUAAAGAUGCUGGGAUAAAUUUUAACUACACCAAGACACAACUAACUCAUGAUGACAGUGAAUCAAAGGAAUGAAAAUCAAGAACCAAAUCCAGGUUAAGAUGAAAAUGAACGUAACACUUGAAUCAAAGUAGAGAUGGGCACAAAAUAAUUCCUUGGUCAGUGACGAGAUGAACCCAUUUCACGUUUGGUUGACAAGAUGACAAUGGCAAUUAAUAACUUCACAAGCGGUGAUUCACUUCGCGAACAAUUGAACUUAACAGUUGCACGUUAAUAAAAAGUGUAAAACUGUGUUGCGAUCGCAAAUGUAAAUUAUUGUUCACAAAUAAUAAUAAUAUCCAACUUACAGGCAAUUCACAGUAAACAGUAAUAACUAACUGAGUAAAAGCUAAGAAUAUCAAUAGUCGAUGAAUAUCAGUUGGUCAUUAGACAUUUAGACAAGACACUAGAGCAAACUGUUUGCAGUCAAUUAUUAUUAAUUGUUACAAGUUGAGCUAUUAUUAUUGUAUUUGGUACUGUGUUGCUGUGUUACAAUUGCUUAAUGUUGGUUAUGUUUUGAUCAGUACAAAUGAUAGCAAAUAAGUAAACGGAAAUUCUGUAAUAAACAUUAGUUCGGUAAGUUAA